AAUCUCUCAGAAACAAGAAGACUCACCUGUGCUUCAGUUUGUAUUCACUAGCCUGUUACAGGCAAUGGAACGCCAGGAAGCAACUGUCUAUUCUUGACUUGAUGAUGUCAUUUUAAUUAGAAUUCCCUGUGAAAGGAUGCUGCCUUUCACCAUUGAAAGGCACUUACUGUGACAGAUGGGAAGAG